UACGGAGGGUGCAAGCGUUAUCCGGAUUUACUGGGUUUAAAGGGUGCGUAGGUGGGCCUGUAAGUCAGUGGUGAAAUCUUCAAGCUUAACUUGGAAACUGCCAUUGAUACUAUAGGUCUUGAAUUAUCUGGAGGUAAGCGGAAUAUGUCAUGUGGCGGUGAAAUGCUUAGAGAUGACAUAGAACACCCAUUGCGAAGGCAGCUUACUACGGAUUGAUUGACACUGAGGCACGAAAGCGUGGGGAUCAAACAGG
rnacentral:rRNA from 1 species